GAUGAACGCUGGCGGCGUGCCUAAUACAUGCAAGUCGAGCGAACAGACGAGGAGCUUGCUCCUCUGACGUUAGCGGCGGACGGGUGAGUAACACGUGUAUAACCUACCUAUAAGACGGGGAUAACUUCGGGAAACCGGAGCUAAUACCGGAUAAUAUAUUGAACCGCAUGGUUCAAUAGUGAAAGACGGUUGUGCUGGCACUUAUAGAUGGAUCUGCGCCGCAUUAGCUAGUUGGUAAGGUAACGGCUUACCAAGGCAACGAUGCGUAGCCGACCUGAGAGGGUGAUAGGCCACCUUGGAACUGAGCCACGGUCCAGGCUCCUACGGGAGGCAGCAGUAGGGAAUCUUACGCAAUGGGCGAAAGCCUGACGGAGCAACGCCGCGUGAGUGAUGAAGGUCUUCGGAUCGUAAAACUCUGUUAUUAGGGAAGAACAAAUGUGUAAGGAACUAUGCACGUCUUGACGGUACCGAAUCAGAAAGCCACGGCUAACUACGUG
rnacentral:rRNA from 1 species